rnacentral:rRNA from 1 species
CAGUCGCCACGGGAAUACGUAGGUGGCAAGCGUUGUCCGGAAUUAUUGGGCGUAAAGGGCUCGCAGGCGGUUUCUUAAGUCUGAUGUGAAGCCCCCGGCUCAACCGGGGAGGGUCAUUGGAAACUGGGAAACUUGAGUGCAGAAGAGGAGAGUGGAAUUCCACGUGUAGCGGUGAAAUGCGUAGAGAUGUGGAGGAACACCAGUGGCGAAGGCGACUCUCUGGCCUGUAACUGACGCUGAGGAGCGAAAGCGUGGGGAGCGAACAGGAUUAGAUACCCCAGUAGUCCCUGUCUCUUAUACC